ensembl:snRNA U2 U2 spliceosomal RNA
UGUCCUCCAUGGGAGGUCUAUAUUGAGCAGAUGCUUUUUGGUGUUGGGUGGUGGAACCGGAGCUUGCUCCAUCCACUCCAUGCAUUGACCUGGUAUUACAGUGCUUCCAGGACCGGUGC